rnacentral:rRNA from 1 species
GAUGAACGCUAGCGGCAGGCCUAACACAUGCAAGUCGAGGGAGGAGCCUUCGGGCUUCGACCGGCGUACGGGUGCGUAACGCGUAUACAAUCUGCCUUUCACAUAGGGAUAGCCCGAAGAAAUUUGGAUUAAUACCUAAUGGUAUAUAGAUGUGGCAUCACCUUUAUAUUAAAGCUGAGGCGGUGAAAGAUGAGUAUGCGUUCUAUUAGCUAGUUGGAGAGGUAACGGCUCCCCAAGGAGACGAUAGAUAGGGGUUCUGAGAGGGAUAUCCCCCACACUGGUACUGAGAUACGGACCAGACUCCUACGGGAGGCAGCAGUGAGGGAUAUUGGAGUAUGGUCGGAAGACUGAUCCAGCCAUGCCGCGUGCAGGAAGACGGCCUUAUGGGUUGUAAACUGCUUUUGCAGGGGAAGAAUAAGGACUACGCGUAGUUUGAUGACGGUACUCUGCGAAUAAGCAUCGGCUAACUCCGUG